GACGAACGCUGGCGGCGUGCUUAACACAUGCAAGUCGAACGAUGAAGCAAAGAAUCGAAGCUUCGGCAGAAAUUCAUUUCGGAUUAGUGGCAGACGGGUGCGUAACGCGUGAGCAACCUACCUCUUACAAAGGGAUAGCCUCGGGAAACCGGGAUUAAUACCAUAUAACAUUGUGACGAAGCAUUUCGAUGCAAUCAAAGCUACGGCGGUAAGAGAUGGGCGCGCGUCCCAUUAACCGGAUGGUGAGGUAACGGCUCGCCAUAGUGACGAUGGGUAACCGGGCGGAGAGGGUGAACGGUCACACUGGAAAUGAGACACGGUCCAGACUCCUACGGGAGGGAGCAGUGGGGAAUAUUGCACAAUGGAGGGAACUCUGAUGCAGCGACGCCGCGUGAGUGAUGAAGGAAUUCGUUUCGUAAAACUCUGUUCUAUGGGAAGAAAAGGACGGUACCAUAGGAGAAAGCUCCGGCUAAAUACGUG
rnacentral:rRNA from 1 species